rnacentral:rRNA from 1 species
GAGUUUGAUCCUGGCUCAGGACGAACGCUGGCGGCGUGCUUAACACAUGCAAGUCGAGCGAUGAAGCUUCUUCGGGAGUGGAUUAGCGGCGGACGGGUGAGUAACACGUGGGUAACCUGCCUCAUAGAGGGGAAUAGCCUUUCGAAAGGAAGAUUAAUACCGCAUAAGAUUGUAGUACCGCAUGGUACAGCAAUUAAAGGAGUAAUCCGCUAUGAGAUGGACCCGCGUCGCAUUAGCUAGUUGGUGAGGUAACGGCUCACCAAGGCGACGAUGCGUAGCCGACCUGAGAGGGUGAUCGGCCACAUUGGGACUGAGACACGGCCCAGACUCCUACGGGAGGCAGCAGUGGGGAAUAUUGCACAAUGGGGGAAACCCUGAUGCAGCAACGCCGCGUGAGUGAUGACGGCCUUCGGGUUGUAAAACUCUGUCUUUGGGGGCGAUAAUGACGGUACCCAAGGAGGAAGCCACGGAUAACU